rnacentral:tRNA from 1 species
GGCAAUGUAGCUCAGUGGUAGAGCACUGGCUUAACAUGUAUGAGGCCCUGGGUUCCAUCCUAGCACUGCAA